rnacentral:rRNA from 1 species
GACGAACGCUGGCGGCGUGCCUAAUACAUGCAAGUCGAACGCUGAAGGAGGAGCUUGCUUCUCUGGAUGAGUUGCGAACGGGUGAGUAACGCGUAGGUAACCUGCCUGGUAGCGGGGGAUAACUAUUGGAAACGAUAGCUAAUACCGCAUAAGAGUAGAUGUUGCAUGACAUUUGCUUAAAAGGUGCAAUUGCAUCACUACCAGAUGGACCUGCGUUGUAUUAGCCAGUUGGUGGGGUAACGGCUCACCAAGGCGACGAUACAUAGCCGACCUGAGAGGGGGAUCGGCCACACUGGGACUGAGACACGGCCCAGACUCCUACGGGAGGCAGCAGUAGGGAAUCUUCGGCAAUGGACGGAAGUCUGACCGAGCAACGCCGCGUGAGUGAAGAAGGGUGUCGGAUCGUAAAGCUCUGUUGUAAGAGAAGAACGAGUGUGAGAGUGGAAAGUUCACACUGUGACGGUAGCUGAACAGAAAGGGACGGCUAACUACGUG